rnacentral:lncRNA from 1 species
GCCAGACUCACUGGGUCUAAUGCAUGGUGUGUCUUUGAGGGGCUGAGCCACACGAGCAGAGCCCAAUAAAUUAAAAAGCAAUGUACAACCAGCCUGAAGCAAUGGGUAGCACUUCUGACAAAUGCCUGCAGUAGCUCAUGUCCCGUGAGAAGAUUUAUCUCCAGACCUACAGGUUCCCUUCAGGAACACUCCAGGCACACUUUCACCAGCACCAUCAUCUAAUAUUAGUUUUAUUACAGGCAGAGAACAGAGAGAGCUGCCAAAGAGGAGAUCAAGGGAUGGGUUGAUGUUCAACCAGAGGAGAAUUUAACAGUCCAAGGUGU